UCUUCUUCUCUCACACACCAGUUUCUUCUCUCUCAGGUGACUCCUGUUGUACUUCUUCCUGUAAGUUCAUUAGAUUCUUUUUCUGCUUGAUUUCUGCGUCAGCUGGUGAAACUGAUAGUCUUUUUUAUUCUUUACUCAGCUUUUUUUACCAAGUUAUCAUAUUUAGCCGUAUCGUUUUCCACUCUUACUUACAUAUGAGACAAGUUUGACUUUUACAAGAGAUUAUGUUUGGUUCGUUUGAGUUCCAAAUCCAAUCAAUCAGAUUACUAUGAUCCUUUGGAUAUCUUUGUCUUUUAUGGGGGUUUUUGUGACAUAGGGACAUGUGAUGUUGAGUUUAAGCCUAUAUAAUUAAAGGGCUUUUGAUCAAUUUUAAUCAAAGUUGAUUGCUUUUUGCUUAGAACGUCAAUACUAUUAAUGGGAAAGUUGGUUUCUUUGCCUUAGUCAUUUGCUUUUUAUGCAACUGACUUUUUCAGUUUGGUUGUUUCCAGAUUGUGAACAUCUCUGUGCCCUUGUAUCAUUUACGUUUAUGUGAAAGAAGUUUCUGGAAAUUGAGAAUCUAAGAGUAACAUGUUUUCGUCUAAUACGCUAUACGCUUAUAUAUAUAUAUAUAUAUAUACUAGGGUUAUCCCGUGGGUUUUUUUUAUGUAUUCCUUCGAUUAAUAUUAUGAAAUAAUCACUCUAUUACAAGUAUUACUUUGUUUUAUUGGCAAUGAUAUUUCUGGGGAAUAAAUACAAACAUUGACAAUGUAUGAUCCAUUUUUUCUAAUGUUAAUUGGGGGUUUCUUUUUAGUGAAAAACAUAAUGUUCUUAAAAUAUAUAGUCAAUUACCUAUAUAAGAAGUACAACCACCAUUUACAAAGAAUUUUGUUCCGAAUUUGUUUUAUCGAAUUUAUGAACUUAAAAUUUAAAAUCAAUCUUACUUUAAGCGUUUGUUAAUGGAGAAAAACAUCAGUUACUCUGGUUGUCACAUAGGCAUCAAUUAUCCUUCUAGUGUUUAUUACCACAAACUUACUUGCUUGCUUACUCUGAUUUUAAUCUUGAUUCGUCCAUCUACGUUCCUUACUCAUCCAUGACUAAUUAUUUAAUAUGAAAAUGAUUGAUUUCUUGAUCAUUUGAUUCUUCAUCUUAUAUGUUACUUUUGUAUAUUUUUUGUUUACACUGUUUACUUUUACAUUACAUCUAUGAUCCUUCUGGUCCGACCAACUCUUCGGUCUCGUUUUAUCCAUUUUGGCAACCUCGUGCUCAUAUGGCAACAACACAACCUUACAAUGCGGGUAACUGGAUUAUGGACAGUGGUGCGACACACCAUCUUACGUCCGAUUUGAACAACCUCGCAUUGCACCAACCCUGUACAGGUGGUGAAGAGGUCACCAUCGCCAAUGGUACAAGUUUGAAGAUCACGAACACUGGUUCUGGUGAGGGAUCUCAGCACGGGGGUCCGGUUGCUGCAAGGCAAGACUAGGAAUGAGAUGUAUGAGUGGCCGGUCAAAUUGCCAUUUGCGACGUCUCUAUUUGCUUCACCUUCUCCAAAAACGGACAUCUCCUCUUGGCACUUGAGACUUGGCCAUCCUUCUUUUUCUAUUUUACAAACACUUAUUCAGAAAUUUUCAUUACCUGUUUCCCAAUCUUUACACAAACAUUUGUCUUGUUCUGGCUGUUCCAUUAAUAAAAAUCACAAACUUCCAUUUUA